rnacentral:lncRNA from 1 species
AACUCCUCAACUGCAUAACUACUUAUUCACCUUCAAAUUCAACCUAAUAAUUUCACAAAAUUUCAGAUUCACAUAAUUUCAAAUAAUGGGAUAUUUAUUAUAAAUCAUAUUAAGUUGUUCAAAAUCAAAAUUUUCAAUUUGUACAUAAACUUGUUUUAACUUACAUAAAAAUUUAUUUCAUUUUUAGCUUCUUAUUUUUAACUUUUAGAAGUAUGUAUGAAAAAUUUUACUCAAACACACACUUGAGAGAAUAAUAUAGCAAAAAUUAUAAAUAAUAGUGAAAAAUUUGAAAUUAUUAGAAACCAUA